GACGAACGCUGGCGGCGUGCUUAACACAUGCAAGUCGAACGGAAAGGCCCUGCUGUUGUGGGGUGCUCGAGUGGCGAACGGGUGAGUAACACGUGAGUAACCUGCCCUUGACUGUGGGAUAAUAUCAGGAAACUGGGGCUAAUACCGGAUAGGAGCUUCUGCAGCAUGGUGGGGGUGGGAAAGUUGCGGCGGGUGGGGAUGGACGCGCGGCUUAUCAGCUUGAUGGUGGGGUAGUGGCUUACCAAGGCAGUGACGGAUAGCCGGCGUGAGAGGGUGAACGGGCACAAGGGGCCUGCGAGAGGGCGCAGACUGCAACGGGAGGCAGCGGGCGGGAGUAUUACGCAGUGGGGGCGAGCGUGAUGCAGCAGCGCCGCGUGCGUAAAGUCGGCCUACGGGUUGUGAACCGAUUUCGCCUGAGACGAAGCGUGAGUGACGGUAAUGGGUAAAGAAGCACCGGCUAACUACGUG
rnacentral:rRNA from 1 species